UAGUAGCCCCGUCCUAUUUUACGACGUUCGAGAUUUUGGAAAAUCAAGUUACAAGCUCAGGGAUCGUCUACGAAGCUCAUCACACAAUCCACUAUUUUGGGUACUUUUAUAAGUUGAAUUAGAAAUUAUGGCAUGUAUAAGCUAAAGCAUGUUUUGGAAAUGUUAAUUUGGGGGUUGUAUAUAAAGCCCUGAAAAAAAUGGCUAAGUAAUUAUCCUUAAAAA